CAAGAACAAAGAACUAUGAUCAGUAAAAGACCACAAGGUGACUGGAUCAUUCUUUGAUCUAUUAAAUGUUGACAUACUUAUGUGGCAAGGUGGGUGACAAUCUAACCUUAUUUGUUCAUUGGCGUGUGAUUGUCACCCACAAUAGCCAAUGAGAUUGUGCCUUUACAGUAUUUAAGGCUGGAGUCAUGUCACCUGGUGUGCGUCACCGCUGGGACUGCUUUUGAUGGAGUGCGCAUGUGCAGAGGGUGCGUGGUCUCUGUGGUAUGUAGCAGUUAAUGGAGGAGUGGGUAUGAGGAUUAAAAGUAGAUCUUUUCUUCCCUGGUUGAUACUUUGUUCUGGUUACAGGCUGUCCACCAUAUGUCAGGCAUGUGCGUGUUCUUUUAUGCGUAGUUCAUGGAGCGGUGACGUUAACUGGUGUCUAUUUUAUUUAGUUGUGGAUCCUUUCGUGUCUGUCUUUCCUGCAUAAUCUUUUGUGAGUUGUGAGCAGCGGUAAAACUUGUGCUUAUAAUAAUCCGCUUUUUGGUAAGUGUGAUUUUUGUUCUUAUUCUUUAUAUGGGAAAUUUAUAUUUUAAAUGAUCACUUUCUUUAUUUUCAGUGCGUUGACAUCUUUCCGAUGCCGCACGUCUAGUUACGAGAAUGCGGAAGUGUUUACACGGCGUUUAAAAGGACGGCGCUGCUGUUUUUCUCCUUUUUCUUUGGGACUUUCUUUUCGUUUUCUUUUUAUGGCACUGUCGGUCCCUGAGGCUGGGAGGCUAGUUAGCUUCGAGUAUUGGUGGUGGUAUAAUCGCGUGGAGUGCAGUGCUGCUUGGAUUCACCUUUCACAGAGUGUGUGUGUGGGAUGCACGAGUGCGCCAUUAGGAUCCUCACUUCGCCUAGCCUGCCCUUGCCAUUGGAAAGCCUGUGCUGUAUCUUUUUUUUUUCUUUUGUUUCUUUGAGUAUUCUAAAUGUCUUUAUUUGUAGGAAACAGAGCUCCCUUUUUGUGACCAUGUGAUAUUGAAUUGAUACUGAUUGAUCUUGAGACUUUUAACUAUUUAUUGUGGAUAUCUAAAAUAAAGUUCUGUACAUUGUU